GGAAAAAAAAUCGUUUUUCCUAGAAGCCGAAAAAUGAUCGUGUGUACGCGGCAUUAUCCUUCCAACAUCAAAAACUGCACAAUGAAGAGAAGCCAUAUUCCUGUUCUAAGAGCAGGAAAUGUUUUUCAGGGAAGUCUUAUCUUUCCACACAUCAGGGAUUUCAUACGGUGGAAAAGCCAUACUCCCGAAUAAGUGCGGGAAAUUGUGGAAAACGUUUUUUAGAACAGUCAAGUCUUGCCAAACUUUAGAGAACCCACACUACCAAGGAGACAUCUUAGCAGGGCCGGGACAAAGGGUGGGGCAGGAGGGGGGGGGGGGGGUUGCGCUCAAAAUGUGGCCUGUUUACCUUGGGCUCUAGAUGACCUUGUCCCGGCACUACAUAUUAGUGUCUCGAAAUGUCUUCUAUAUGAAUCCUAUUUUGCCGUACAUCAGAGAUCUCACACCGGAAAGAAUUUGGGUGGGGUGAGUUCUCAAACCCGUGCACCGAGUUUCGCCUCUUCAGGUCCCAAAGGGGACAUCCACCUGGUAACAAGGGACUUUGUCGAGUGUUUUUAUAUUGCUAUUUUGUCGGAAUAAACUGUUUUUGGUUUAAGAAAA